rnacentral:tRNA from 1 species
UGAUGUAGCUCAGCAGCACAGUGCCUGCCUGGUUAGCAGGAGACCCUGAGUUCAAUUCCCAGCACCA